CAGGUGGUCAGGUAGAGAAUACUCAGGCGCUUGAGAGAACUCGGGUGAAGGAACUAGGCAAAAUGGUGCCGUAACUUCGGGAGAAGGCACGCUGGCGCUAGGUGAAGUGGUUUACCCAUGGAGCUGAAGCCAGUCGCAGAUACCAGCUGGCUGCAACUGUUUAUUAAAAACACAGCACUGUGCAAACACGAAAGUGGACGUAUACGGUGUGACGCCUGCCCGGUGCUGGAAGGUUAAUUGAUGGGGUUAUCCGUAAGGAGAAGCUCUUGAUCGAAGCCCCAGUAAACGGCGGCCGUAACUAUAACGGUCCUAAGGUAGCGAAAUUCCUUGUCGGGUAAGUUCCGACCUGCACGAAUGGCGUAAUGAUGGCCAGGCUGUCUCCACCCGAGACUCAGUGAAAUUGAACUCGCUGUGAAGAUGCAGUGUACCCGCGGCAAGACGGAAAGACCCCGUGAACCUUUACUAUAGCUUGACACUGAACAUUGAGCCUUGAUGUGUAGGAUAGGUGGGAGGCUUUGAAGUGUGGACGCCAGUCUGCAUGGAGCCAACCUUGAAAUACCACCCUUUAAUGU
rnacentral:rRNA from 2 species